rnacentral:lncRNA from 1 species
UCGUCGCCUAUGAAAAUUAUACGUCUUUUACAAAAAAAAUUGUCUGUUAAACCUUCAACAGAUGCAUUUGGUUAUAGCAUGGGAGAAAUUGACUUUAUUUUUAUUUUAUUUUAUUUUAUUUUUUAUAACCGUGGGAAUCUCAAAUGUUUUCUAUGUCCAAAGACUAAUUUUACGAAGUCCAUAGAAAUUCGGAUUUUCUUGUCAUGUUAAUGGGUAUCGUUUUCAGGUAAUGUAUACAUUAAACUAAAGUUUCAAUUUAUCAUAACGGUUGAUAAAUAUCAAAAGCCGGCCAUAAUAAAGUACAACUUCGACUAAAAAGACAAUGACUUUGUCUUUUUCAUUACAACGAUUGCCGCUUAAAUCGACCUCAAAAAUAUGUCAGCAUCCCCGCCAGCAGUAUUGAAGCUUGUGGUUGGAGCCGCCGCAGAACGGCUGAGAUACGGUGGUCUAUAUAGCUUCACAAUCAUUGGGCAAUUUUUAUUCUAAUUGUUCAAACUAUAAGUAUAUACAAUCAACUUUCUAGCAAGGUGUGGUUGGAUAGUGGCAGACGAGAAUGAAAAUAUAUUUUUAUAGUUUUGUUUUAAUCGUAUCUUAAUUAAUAAUUACCGAUUAUUGAAGAAAAUAUAUUCCCCUUGCCAGAUACCAUUACUAUCAAUAAAUGCGCAAACCUCAUUAGCG